rnacentral:lncRNA from 1 species
UUAUAUAGUACUUUAAUAGUUCAGUUUAUUAUAUCAAUAUUAAAUUAUAAGGAGGACUUGUGGCAUUAGCAAGGAUGAGCCACUUGCACUUAUUCUAAAGUUGACACCUAAACCUACAUGCAUGCUUGCCAUCUCACUAUUUUAGCAUGAGCCAAACCUAAGUAAUUUAAGGCACAACUAAGGGAAACUUUGCAGCCAAAGUAACUUGAAAAGAGGAGAAGGAAUUGAAGGAGAAGAG